rnacentral:sRNA from 1 species
CAGCCGGGCAUUGUGGCGUGUGCCUGUAUCCCCAGCUACUCAGGAGGCUGAGACAGGAGAAUUGCUUGAACCCGGGAGGCAGAGGUUGCUGUGAGCAGAGAUCACGCCACUCCACUCCAGCCUGAGCGACAGAGCAAGACUCUAUCUCAAAAAAAAAAAAAAGAAAAAGAUGUGAAAGUAGAGAUUUUACCCUGAUUUCUAACAUCUCAAGGUUUCUCCACAUAUUUAAGAAAGUAUUAUAAAUUUUCAAGCCAGUACAGUAUAAUAGUUUCAGAUGAAAUGAAGGGGUUAAAUAACAGAUUACCAUAACUCUAAAUGGAGAGAAAGUAUGGUUUUUUUCUCUCUUACGGAAAGUUCAUGGUCUUUAUGAAAAAUCCAACCAGAAGCCUUUUCACACAGGUGCGACACAUGAUUGCAGAUGGGAUGAUUCACCUGUGCAUCUAUGCUGUGUCUGCCAUCACCAAGGAUGCUGAGGUCACCAUAGCAUUUGAUUAUGAGUAUAGUAACUGUAAUUAUAAAGUGGACUGUGCCUGUCACAAGGGAAACCGGAAUUGUCCUAUACAAAAAAGGAAUCCUAAUGCUACAGAACUGCCACUCCUACCACCUCCUCCAAGCCUACCCACCAUUGGAGCAGAGACUAGACGUAGAAAAGCACGACGGAAAGAGCUAGAGAUGGAGCAGCAGAAUGAGGCUUCAGAGGAGAAUAAUGACCAGCAGUCACAAGAAGUUCCAGAAAAAGUAACUGUAUCCAGUGAUCAUGAGGAAGUAGACAAUCCAGAAGAAAAACCAGAAGAGAAAGAAGAGGUUAUAGAUGACCAGGAGAACCUAGCUCAUAGCAGGAGGACCAGGGAAGAUAGAAAGGUAGAAGCCAUCAUGCAUGCUUUUGAAAACUUAGAGAAAAGAAAGAAGCGGCGGGAUCAGCCCUUGGAACAGAGCAAUUCUGAUGUAGAGAUUACUACAACCACCUCAGAGACUCCUGUUGGUGAAGAGACAAAAACUGAAGCCCCUGAAUCUGAAGUUAGCAACUCUGCUUCAAAUGUUACCAUCCCAAGCACCCCACAGAGUGUUGGUGUGAACACCCGGAGAUCUUCCCAAGCAGGGGAUAUUGCUGCAGAAAAACCAGUCCCCAAGCCACCUCCAGCAAAGCCUUCUAGGCCCCGGCCGAAGAGUCGAAUUUCUCGGUACAGGACCAGUUCAGCCCAAAGACUAAAGCGUCAGAAGCAGGCCAGUGCACAACAGGCAGAAUUGUCACAAGCUGCCUUGGAAGAGGGAGGAAGUAACAGUUUAGUAACUCCUACUGAAGCUGGAAGUAUAGACAGCUCAGGAGAAAACAGGCCAUUAACAGGGUCUGACCCAACUGUGGUGUCAAUUACUGGAUCCCAUGUCAACCGUGCUGCAUCUAAAUACCCCAAAACCAAAAAGUAUCUAGUUACGGAAUGGUUGAAUGACAAAGCAGAGAAGCAAGAGUGCCCUGUUGAGUGCCCUUUACGUAUCACAACGGAUCCAACUGUACUGGCAACGACCCUAAACAUGUUACCAGGUCUUAUCCAUUCCCCGUUAAUUUGCACCACCCCCAAACACUACAUUCGCUUUGGCUCACCCUUUAUCCCUGAGAGACGUCGAAGGCCCCUUCUGCCUGAUGGCACAUUCAGCUCCUGUAAGAAGCGCUGGAUAAAACAAGCCUUAGAAGAAGGGAUGACUCAAACAUCAUCUGUACCCCAAGAGACUAGAACUCAGCACCUAUACCAAAGCAAUGAGAAUAGUAGCUCUUCUAGUAUCUGCAAAGACAAUGCAGACUUGUUGAGCCCAUUAAAGAAAUGGAAGUCUCGCUAUCUGAUGGAGCAGAAUGUCACCAAGUUACUUCGGCCUCUGUCUCCAGUCACACCACCCCCUCCCAAUUCAGGCUCAAAGAGCCCCCAGCUGGCCACACCUGGCUCAUCUCACCCAGGAGAAGAGGAGUGUCGAAAUGGAUACAGCCUCAUGUUUUCACCAGUCACAUCUCUUACUACUGCUAGUCGCUGCAACACUCCUCUGCAGUUUGAGCUUUGUCACCGAAAAGACCUGGAUUUGGCAAAAGUAGGAUACCUUGACUCCAACACUAACAGCUGUGCUGAUAGACCUUCCCUGCUCAACUCAGGUCAUUCUGACCUGGCUCCUCAUCCCUCCAUCGGACCCACUUCUGAGACUGGUUUCCCAAGCAGAAGUGGAGAUGGACAUCAGACCCUUGUGAGAAACUCAGACCAGGCAUUUCGGACAGAGUUCAACUUGAUGUAUGCCUACUCCCCUUUGAACGCUAUGCCUCGAGCAGAUGGACUGUAUCGAGGAUCUCCUCUAGUGGGGGAUAGGAAACCUUUACAUUUGGAUGGGGGAUAUUGUUCCCCUGCAGAAGGAUUUUCCAGCAGAUAUGAACAUGGCUUAAUGAAAGACCUCUCUCGUGGAUCCUUGUCACCUGGUGGUGAAAGGGCCUGUGAAGGAGUCCCAUCUGCCCCCCAGAACCCACCACAGAGGAAAAAAGUAUCCCUGCUGGAGUACCGAAAACGGAAACAAGAAGCUAAGGAAAAUUCUGCUGGUGGGGGAGGUGACUCUGCACAGAGCAAAAGCAAGUCUGCAGGAGCUGGGCAAGGCAGCAGUAACUCCGUUUCUGACACUGGUGCCCAUGGUGUGCAGGGAUCCUCAGCCCGAACUCCAUCUUCCCCUCACAAAAAAUUCUCCCCAUCUCAUUCCUCUAUGUCCCAUUUGGAGGCGGUAAGCCCAUCAGAUUCCAGAGGCACUUCUUCAUCUCACUGCAGACCUCAAGAGAAUAUCAGCAGUAGGUGGAUGGUUCCCACAUCAGUAGAACGACUCCGAGAAGGAGGGAGCAUCCCCAAGGUCCUCCGAAGCAGUGUGAGGGUGGCCCAAAAGGGAGAGCCCUCUCCCACGUGGGAGAGUAACAUCACAGAGAAAGACUCAGACCCUGCAGAUGGAGAAGGCCCAGAGACACUGAGCUCAGCACUCUCUAAAGGAGCAACAGUUUACAGCCCUUCCAGAUACAGCUACCAGCUCCUGCAGUGUGAUAGUCCUCGGACAGAAUCACAAAGCCUCCUUCAGCAGAGUUCCUCCCCCUUCAGAGGACAUCCUACACAAUCUCCAGGAUACAGUUAUCGAACUACUGCACUGAGACCUGGAAACCCCCCCUCUCACGGUUCUUCAGAAUCAUCCCUCUCUUCCACAUCCUAUUCCAGCCCCGCCCACCCUGUGUCCACAGACUCGUUGGCCCCAUUUACGGGGACACCAGGGUAUUUUAGCAGCCAGCCACAUUCUGGAAACAGCACUGGCAGCAAUCUUCCAAGGAGGAGCUGCCCUUCUAGUGCUGCUAGCCCUACCCUGCAGGGACCCUCAGACUCGCCAACCUCAGAUUCGGUUUCUCAGUCCAGCACAGGAACUCUGAGUUCCACCUCCUUUCCUCAGAACUCUAGGUCGUCAUUGCCAUCAGACUUACGGACUAUCAGUCUGCCCAGUGCUGGGCAGUCAGCUGUCUACCAGGCCUCCAGGGUAUCUGCGGUUUCCAAUUCACAGCACUACCCACACCGUGGGAGUGGGGGUGUGCACCAGUACCGACUCCAGCCACUGCAAGGGUCAGGAGUCAAGACUCAGACAGGACUUUCCUAGGGCUUCUGGAUUUGGGCAAACAGAACUGAAUGAGCCCAUAGCUGCUUCCUUCCAGCUGCCUCUGGAACCUAGGCCGAGCAUAUUGCUGAGGAAGGGGGGGUACAAGGUGCCAGAGGAUUGGGUCUGGUGGACAAGAAACAAGACUUGUGGUCACAAUUGGCCUCUGGCCUUGGAGAAAGCUGUAAAUCUUGUCUGAAGCAGAGACUAUAAAGAAGUUUCUCCCUGCUGUCAAGGGUACAUUGUUGACAAGCAAAUGGUGUUUCGGUUAGUAACGGUUCUAAGUGCAAUGAGUUUUGUUGAAGCCUCCGUCUCCCAUCCUUGCCUGUAGCCUGUAGUCACUUGUGCAGUGAGGACAUCUUUUUAAAUUA